CUUGUUAAUUGCGCUUGGUAAUUUUUCUCUUCUUGCCCUGAAUAUGCUUUUUGUUUCUGAUUUCGUAGGCCUGCCUUAUUGCUGAUAUUGUGCAACAUUUUGUUGACGCAAAGCUCGAGUUUGAUGCACCCUAUGUCUAUCAAGAUGUAAAUCGUGCAAUUCAGCAUGUUCACGGAAGUGGCUUGGCUCAUAGAGGAAUUUUAUCUGAUCCGCAAAGAUACCCAGUUAAAGAUGUGCGCGACGAUGAACUCUAUUCUAAUAUUUGUAUAAUUUGCUUUUAUUGUUCGAGGUCUCUUGUUCUUAACUCAUUCUCAGGUUAGUGAUGGCUCAUUGUAAAAUGGGACAACGGCUAUACUAGUAUAUUUGGUUAAUUUUAAUCUAUUAUACUGGACACUUGAAAAAUUGUUAUUGUAUGGUUAAACCUUGGAGAGUCAGCUGCAACGCUUUCUCAGGAUGCUAAAGGAAAAUGGGAAGAAACUUUUCUUGUUGACCAACUCUCCGUAUUAUUUUGUGGAUGGAGGGAUGCGUUUUAUGUUAGAGGGUUGCGACCAUCAAAAUUGGAAGUACAUGAAUUAAAGUGGAAUUUAAGUUGUCUUUUUACAUUUGAAUUAGGAUUCUUUGGGCGAAAGA